AAAAGAUAUUCUUAUUGCUCUAGUUACUUAGGAAAUAAUUACAGGGGGUCAGAGUCAGGGAUCCUGGAUAAAACGCCAAAUCCAUGAUCCUAGUUCCAGCCACAGAUCAGGAGGAAAUGAGGCUGGCUGAAAAAUCACAAGAAAUGUUACACAAGUUAGACAAUGUGACCUUCACCCAUUAUCUUCAUGCUCCUGGAAUCUGUGAUGCAAAGAACCAUCUACAGCCAGUCAAUAGCUUAUGUUAUUUUAAUGAACCAGUGUGGGAACUUGCCCCUUCUUUCUUUCUUUCAAACCCACUGUAACUGCUGCUAACUGGAGCAUAUGUUCGGAGCCACCUGAAUCUACGUCCCCCAGGAUGCCGUCCUCACACGUGGCCCAAAUAAACCCUCCACAUGUACUAA
ensembl:lncRNA novel transcript, antisense to B3GNTL1